UACGUAGGGGGCUAGCGUUGUCCGGAUUUAUUGGGCGUAAAGAGCGUGUAGGCGGCCAGGUAGGUCUGCUGUGAAAACUCGAGGCUUAACCUCGAGAUGUCGGCGGAAACCAUCUGGCUAGAGUCCGGAAGAGGAGAGUGGAAUUCCUGGUGUAGCGGUGAAAUGCGCAGAUAUCAGGAGGAACACCGAUUGCGAAGGCAGCUCGCUGGGACGUUACUGACGCUGAGACGCGAAAGCGUGGGGAGCAAACAGG
rnacentral:rRNA from 1 species